rnacentral:misc_RNA from 1 species
GAUGAAGAACGCAGCGAAAUGCGAUAAUUGAUGUGAAUUGCAGAAUUCAGUGAAUCAUCGAGUCUUUGAACGCACAUUGCGCCCCCUGGUAUUCCGGGGGGCAUGCCUGUCCGAGCGUCAUUGCUGCCCUCAAGCACGGCUUGUGUGUUGGGCCUCCGUCCUCCUCCCGGGGGACGGGCCCGAAAGGCAGCGGCGGCACCGCGUCCGGUCCUCGAGCGUAUGGGGCUUCGUCACCCGCUCUUGUAGGCCCGGCCGGCGCUUGCCGACACAUCAAUCUUUUUUCCAGGUUGACCUCGGAUCAGGUAGGGAUACCCGCUGAACUUAAGCAUAUCAAUAAGCGGAGGA